GGAGAAUUUGCUGAAGCAAUCAGCCCAGAACCGAGCGAACACCACGGGCCAUGUCCUUCGCCGGCGACGGGGAAGACGCCGCCGUCGCCGGCGACCCGGUGGUUCUUGAGAUCACUGACACAUCCUCCUCCGCCGAAUCCGUUCCUCCCUCCUCCCCUCGCCCUCUGCCGGUCGCCGUCUCCGACCUCUCGCGCUUCGACACGCUUCCGUCCCCAACCGUCGCCGUUCGCGCCGACCGGCACAGGCUAAUCGAGAGCUCGUCCUACUUCCGCGCGCUCCUCGGCGGCAGCUUCAGUGAAUCGGGCAGAGAAUAUGUGCAGCUCGGCUGCAAUUUGGAGGCUGCCGUGCAAGUGCUACGCUAUCUGUUUGAGCCUUCCGAGAGCUGUACCAUCACGCACGGCAAUUUCCUCCUGCUGUUGGAGGGAGCUUUGUUUCUUGCUGUUGAGAGCCUUCUAGUGGAGUGUGAAAGGUGGUUCCGCACCAUGGGCUCUCGAACUUCUUCGGCGCUAGUUCCACUGGAUUUCGUUAUUGAAGUCUGGUACUUUGCUCAAGAGCAUGGUGUUACUUUUGUUCAAGACAUAUGCCCAGAAUAUCUAGCUCAGAAUUUUGCAUUUGUUAUCUCAAGGAAGUCGUUUAAUAAAAUACCUUAUGAUUUGUUAUGUUCAAGCAUUGAAUGUCCACAUCUGACGGUCGAUAGUGAAAAACAAUUGUGUGAAGCAAUUUUAUAUUGGGUUUCAGAAAAUAUGGAACCCUGUGACCGGCCAAAUUCCAACUCAGUAGAUGGCCACCUCUUCCUUCUUAGCAAGGUGAAGAUAUGCCUUUUACCAUUAGAACUUGCGACAGGAAUAAAGAGGCAUUGGUUUGACUUUGGAAACAAUAUCGUUUGUACAAUUCUUAAUCUUCUCAAGGACAGUUUGAAAACUCUAUUGGAUGCCAUUGCUGGCGGUAAUUUGAAGGGAUAUGGCAUUCGAAUUACAGAAUAUUCAAAGAACAUAGUGCUUUCAGGAUGUCCACAAAUAACUACAGCAUUCUUGUACAUAUCUGUUCUCCCUACUGAUCUGGAUGUUUCAUUUAAGAGAAGGAUAGUAAGUUCAUACACCCAGGUUGAUCAUCAAAGCUUCAUUCUGUAUGAUGAACUGGAGAAGGCUGCUAAAACCUUAUUAUUUAGGAAUGUACGCAUGGUGGAUCUUUCAAAAUGUCCAAAUGUUCAUUUCGGUGCAGCAAUUGACUGGUUGAAGUUGGCUUUUCCGGAACUAAGGAUAUUCAGAGCUUUACAUUGUUUGUCAUUUCACUUUGAUGAUUUGAUAUAUCUGUUACUGAGAUGUCCAUGGAUUGAUGAAAUUGAUAUGACUAUUGAUACCAGCACCAUAACACCCAACCAAUCAAUAGUUUCUUUCAGUUCUGAAGUCUUAGGCAAAGUGAAGCAAAAUCGAAGAAGAUAUUACAUACCAUGUCCACCAUAUGACAGGCAACUGAAUUCAGUUUUCUCAAAUGUGUCAAGAUUAACAUUAGAAGGCAGAAAUGAUAUUGAUGAUGUGGACUUGGUGAAGAUAUCUGCGCUGAAAAAUUCUCUCUCUUACAUAAACAUUAGAAACUGCACCAUGUUGACAGAUGAUGGCAUUUCAAACUUUCUGAUGAAGUGUACAAAGAUCCAUUCAAUAGUUCUUUCUUAUACUUCGUUUGGAAACCGAUCGAUUCAAACGCUAUGCACUACAAAUCCUGACCACAAUGAUGGACAUGCUCAUGUUAUGGCAUUUAAUAUGCAAGAGUUACAUCUGGGUGGCUGCAAAGGUAUUGAUGCUGCUGCUUUGUCCCAGCUAAUGAGCAUUAUAAAUAUCACGAAAUUUCUGUGCUUAAGGGAAACAUCACUUACAGAUGGUGCACUCUGCAAGUUUGUUGGCUCUAGUCUUGAGUAUCUUGAUGUUUCAGAGACCAUGGUUUCUAUGGUAUCGUUAGCACCAGUUAUACGAAGAAAUUGUAAUUUGAACUGUCUGAAAACAGCUGGAUGCCGUAAUCUUCUGUUUGAACGUGAUGAAGUAGAACAAAUCAGUGGUAACAAGUAUGGAAAUUUUCUACAGGAGAUAGGAAGUACUUGUUGUUUGGAGGAUGUUGAAAUGGGUUGGGGAUUUUGCCCUAUUCAAAUCAAAGACCUUAUUCCUUCUUUUAGUAAAGUAAGGAAGAUGACAGUUGGCCUCGGCACAACAUUAGCGGAGAAUGUCCUGCAUGCUCUACCUGUAAUUUGCCCAUUUCUCGAGUCUCUGACACUGAGGUUUCAGGUGAUAUCUGACAGUGUUGUUAGAAAUCUAUUGGAAUCGGCAACAAAUCUUCAGGUGCUUUGCCUGCACCAUUGUAUUGGCAGUUUAACUUCAUUUAGCUUUCAAACAAAGGCACCGACAUUAAGGGUACUACGGCUUCAGUGGGUUACUCCAUGGAUUACCAAUGAUGAUUUGAAAAUCCUUACAGAUAAUUGUAACUUAGUUGAACUUUCACUGUCUGGUUGCAAACUCCUUGACUCCAGCUCUCAAGAGAUAAUCUCAUCUGGGUGGCCAAACCUGGUGCUUUUACACCUUGAGGACUGUGGUCAAGUAACGGUUCAAGGGGUUUCUUCUAUUUUAAACUGUAAAGCUUUGGAAGACGUCCUACUACGACACACGGUGCGUAUGAAGAAUGUCUUAGUCAGGUUAUUGAGAUAUAUUUCUGGUAAAUCCUAAAGCACAACUAAAAUCGUACUUGAGGAUGGGUGUGGUUGCUGAUAUGGACGUGGUCGAAACAAAGCUUUCGAAAUGAUGUGUGAACUUGCAUUUUAAAAAAAUAUUUUCAAGAUGGUAGAGGCAUCGGAAGGAGCAUCAUAGACGAUGCUAUCAGAGAGUUACCACUACUACGGAAGCUGGCUUUGGAUCUUUGUGAUGCUUGUGAAGAAGGUUAUGAGAGCCCAAAUAACGCGGAGGGGAAGAUGAUUAGAGCCGUAAGAAUGAGCAGGUGCAAGACGCUGAGGGGGUCUUGUUUGGAGCUCCCCAGAGGUAGUGGAGGGGCCUCAAAGCCGGUGCACAAGGACACCGUAGUGCUGGAAUGGAGCAGCACGAGGCUGACAACCACCAUAGUCAAAGAAAGAGUGUGACAAGCUGCCAUCUUCAGAGUAGUGUGUUUGUAUCAAAUGAAUAUGAUCUUUGGACAAGUUAGUCCUGGGACCAAACUGUGAUGAUGUUGCUGUUGUACCCUAGCAUUGUCAAACUUUAAUCCACGGAAAAAAAAAAAUGGGACUAAA